AUAAUACUCCCUCCGUUCGGAAUUACUUGUCGCAAAAAUGGAUGUAUCUAGACCUACGUCUAGAUACAUCCAUUUUUGCGACAAGUAGUUCCGAACGGAGGGAGUAUAUG
rfam:Triticum aestivum genome assembly, contig: Triticum_aestivum_CS42_TGACv1_scaffold_146784_2BS